rnacentral:rRNA from 1 species
UACAGAGAGUGCAAGCGUUAAUCGGAAUUACUGGGCGUAAAGGGCGCGUAGGUGGACAUUUAAGUCGGAUGUGAAAGCCCCGGGCUUAACCUGGGAACCGCAUUCGAUACUGAAUGCCUAGAGUAUGGUAGAGGGAAGUGGAAUUUCCGGUGUAGCGGUGAAAUGCGUAGAUAUCGGAAAGAACAUCAGUGGCGAAGGCGACUUCCUGGACCAAUACUGACACUCAAGUGCGAAAGCGUGGGGAGCAAACAGG